rnacentral:rRNA from 1 species
UACGUAGGUGGCAAGCGUUAUCCGGAAUUAUUGGGCGUAAAGCGCGCGCAGGCGGUUUCUUAAGUCUGAUGUGAAAGCCCACGGCUCAACCGUGGAGGGUCAUUGGAAACUGGGGAACUUGAGUGCAGAAGCGAAAAGCGGAAUUCCACGUGUAGCGGUGAAAUGCGUAGAGAUGUGGAGGAACACCAGUGGCGAAGGCGGCUUUUUGGUCUGUAACUGACGCUGAGGCGCGAAAGCGUGGGGAGCAAACAGG